UAGUCUCUCUUCCUUCGUUUUUUCUCCUUUGGCCUGGUCCUUGCAUGUUCUCGAUGGCCCAUCGAGAACAUGCAAGGCAGUUGUUCUACGUUGUUCGACGAUUUUUUUGCUCUUGGAUUACGAUGGGUGUGGAAGCUGUGUUGUGUGGCGUCCAUGGUUUGAAUGCUACCUUGCAUGUUCUCGAUGGGCGGCGUUGUUGUUACAGCAGUUGAAUUGUGGUGUUUGUGUUGCGGCGUUGUUGAUUAUCACCUUUGCAGCUGCGUUACUCGGCGCCGACAGAGUACGGCUGGACGCUUCUUGAUUUUUGGUUGUCUUUGAUUACCGUUUUCGUUCCGCGGUGGCGCUGCCCAUGUUGCGGUGAAGCGUCAAAAUUCCUAAGUGUUGCGGUGUUGAUACACCGUCGGCGUCCAUUUUUUUUUCUUUUCUUGUGCAAGACUCUGUUUUUACCAAGGCGCUGAUCUUUUGAGCUCCUGAGGUUUUUUGCUCGGCGGUGGUGUUGUUCUGAUUUUGAAUUUGGAUCAAGGUCGUUCAGAGUUCUAUUUUUGCUAGCUCUUUCAAUUAGCUUGCAGUGGAGUAGCGUCCCCACUGUGGACUCUUUAAUUGUGGACUCUCAUCCAAUUUUGAGGUUGCAUGCGGCUGGCCGACGUGAUCUGUCAUGUUCUCAAGUUGAGGCUGCAACGUCCUUGGUGUUGGAUCAACGGCUCUUCCUCUACGGUGGCUGAGGAUUCUGGAGUGCCGAGCCUAGGCGAGCGGCGGUUAGUUGACAAUGUGUGUGUCGUGCAACAGAUUGGCAUUAUCUCAAUGGGCAUCACAAGCUCUACAAUCUAAUUGGCGAUGGAUUGCUGUGUCCAUACUACUAUUGGAUGUAGCUGCCGCAUGUAAUAAUUUACAAUUCUUGACCAACAUUUUCAUCAAAACAUCUUAUUUUUUUACUCUUUAGGUUGUUA